rnacentral:rRNA from 1 species
AAAAUAGAUACCCCAGGUAGUCCACGCCGUAAACCGAUGAGUGCUAAGUGGUUGGGGGGUUUCCGCCCCCUCGAGUGGCUGCAGCUAACGCAUUAAGCACUCCGCCUGGGGAGUACGGUCGCAAGACUGAAACUCAAAGGAAUUGACGGGGGCCCGCACAAGCGGUGGAGCAUGUGGUUUAAUUCGAAGCAACGCGAAGAACCUUACCAGGUCUUGACAUCCCGGUGACCACUAUGGAGACAUAGUUUCCCCGUUCGGGGGCAACGGUGACGAGGUGGUGCAUGGUUGUCGUCAGCUCGUGUCGUGAGAUGUUGGGUUAAGUCCCGCAACGAGCGCAACCCUUAUUCUUAGUUGCCAUCAUUCAGUUGGGCACUCUAAGGAGACUGCCGGUGAUAAACCGGAGGAAGGUGGGGAUGACGUCAAAUCAUCAUGCCCCUUAUGACCUGGGCUACACACGUGCUACAAUGGACGGUACAAACGGUUGCCAACCCGCGAGGGGAGCUAACUCCGAUAAAACCGUUCUCAGUUCGUAUUGUAGGCUGCUAACUCGCCUACAGUA